CGCCGCCUCAGCCCUUCCCUCAGGCUGCGGCGCCUCCACCGAACUGGGCCUUGGGGGCAAUUUUUGCAGCCAUAGAAGUUCCCCCCCUCAGCGGGCUGAAGGUCCCGGCCCUGCGAGGCCCGUGGGCCAGGCCGAGCGCCCUCCCGCCGGCUGUUACCGCCCAGCCGGCUCCUCCGUAGUGGCAGUCGGCCCCUGGCCCUGCUUGCCCCCGUCUGGGAAGCCGCUGUGGAAAAGGGCGAGCACGGGAACAGAUUUUGGAAGGGACCGGGAAGAAAUUGUGGAAAUGGAAGUUUUUUGAUGCCUGCAUCCAGAGCCUUCCCCAAAUGAGAUGAGACAUUUUACUUGUAUGUGAAACCUAGAUAAAGCUAUACAAAUAAUUGAGAAGACACAGAAGACCUCCUCGUCGGUAUUGAAAGACGCCUGCAGACAAUUUCAAUUAGCCUGCCCUCCGGCCAGCCACCGUUCCCCAGGCCAGACCUUGUAGGUUUUGCACCUUCACUCCCUGCAAAGCUGGAAGUCAGGAAGGUGAUUUCUGCCAGGGGGGUGUCCCGUGAAGCCCCUCCUCGCAGCUGGCCCACAGGAGGUGGGAUGCCAUCGCAGCCGCUGACACACAAUGUGGGGCACCGCUGAGAUCCGCACCCAGUGGGGAAGCAGCCCAGGAAACAAACACUGCUUCAUCCAAAUACAAUUAAAAACAAUUCAACACGGAAUAAUUUAAAAAACCUUUUUAUUUAGACAAACACAAGAAGAUCUAGAUAGGAUUUAUGAGCUAAGUUUUUUGGUUAGAGAGCCAAUGUGUACUUUAAAGCAUCGUAAGAGACCGAGGAGAUACAGUCUUGAACAGUGUGUUGUAAUAAUUUGUGAAACUGCAUGAGACAGAUUUUUUUUUUUAAAACCAAUUACUUCCCGUCCGUUCAGGGGCAGAUAAGCCCCCAGCUAAAAUUCCUUUUCAUUCCGGUGCUUGUAACGAUGAAGAUGAAAUGUGAUUUUCCUUUCUAACAAAUGCUCCAAAAAGCAAAAAAGAAAAAGCAUGUGUUUUUCUCUUAUGGAAAAUAGGUCUCGGCAUGCUGGAAAUUCGGCGUUUUACUCAUUUUCUACCACAAAUGCCCCAUUUUUAAGAAAUGAAUAAUGUAAUCAUCUUCUCUGAUUUAUGUUUUCUUUUCUGCCUCAUUUGGCACUAACACCGUGUUAUUACAAGAACAACUGUUCUCUGCAAAAAGAAUGAUCUUUAGACGUCUCAUCCAAAGCCUUUGAAGUCACUGGGAACGAACUGAAAAGAAACGCAGAGAGGCCGUGGACAUUAGCAGCAACUGAGUACUUUCCCACUGACCAGGCAGAUUUUCUACUCGUCACCUGAUGAACGGAACUGCGGUUCCCUACACCUUCUCAGGCAAAAACUCCCUUCCAGGUAGGGUACCUGGCAGUUUUCAGGUCAGAAGUCAGAAAUGAUAAUAAAACGUGGGUCAAACAGGGCACAACCGAGUCCCACAAGCAAGAGCAGAGCCUGGGGACAUCUUCACCAACGAGCACCCCUGGGAUGGGUGUGAAAGGGCCGCGUGCACCAGCACCAGCAUCCGGAUAACUGCAGUAGUAACGAGUGCCAGGGCUCCCGAGCGCUCAAGGAUUGAGACAUGUGCUGGCAUGUGUUUUAAAAAGCAACUCAGAGAAGAAUCUGGAGGGAAUUAGUGUCAAGCAUGUGUAAAGAGGGUUACUUUUCCCAUCUCCAGCGCCCGUAAUUACAUCUCA